AACCCCUCACAGUGUCCUGGCCUUGGAUGUCUACAAUUGACAAAAUCAAUUAAGCCACUCGAAGGCCUCAUCAAAAUCGCAGAUCUGACCAUUAACUCUGGACACCAUGUGGUCAAGUACUGUUCCGAAAACAACAAGCGUCUCAUUCAUUUCUCUACGUCAGAAGUCUAUGGGAAAACCAUUGGAAGCUUCCUCCCCAAAGAUAGUCCUCUUCGUCAGGAUCCUGCAUACUACGUACUUAAGGAGGAUGAAUCUCCUUGUAUUUUUGGUUCAAUUGAAAAGCAGAGAUGGUCCUAUGCCUGUGCUAAGCAGUUGAUUGAGAGGCUUGUUUAUGCUGAGGGUGCAGAAAAUGGCUUGGAAUUCACAAUUGUGAGACCUUUUAAUUGGAUUGGACCACGAAUGGAUUUCAUUCCCGGCAUUGAUGGUCCAAGUGAGGUGUUCCUCGGGUUCUGGCAUGCUUUAGCAAUAAUCUCCUCCGCGGAGAGCCCCUCAAGCUUGUGGAUGGUGGUCAAUCCCAGAGGACUUUUGUGUAUAUUAAGGAUGCUAUUGAAAAUCCUGCCAGGGCCAAUGGACAUAUUUUUAAUGUUGGAAACCCAAACAAUGAGGUUACAGUUAGGCAGCUUGCUGAAAUGAUGACACAGGUUUAUUCAAAGGUUAGCGGAGAAGCACCUCUGGAAAAACCUACUAUUGAUGUGAGUUCCAAAGAAUUUUAUGGUGAGGGAUAUGAUGAUAGUGACAAGAGAGUUCCUGACAUGACCAUAAUUAAUAGGCAGCUUGGCUGGAAUCCUAAAACCUCACUUUGGGACCUGCUUGAAUCCACUCUCACCUAUCAGCACAGGACUUAUGCUGAAGCCAUUAAGAAAGUCAUUGCAAAGCCAGUGGCAAGUUAAACUUGUAUGUUGAUGAAUUGCAUUGAGAAGAGUGUUCUGCCCAUAGGGGCACUUACAUAUAGUUUAAUGGUUGAUUUUAUUUAUAUACAUGGUAAUUUUCCCCUUGGUUUUGGUAGCCAGUGUAGCCCACGGUAGCCCAUGGUAGCCCAUGCCUUAUUUAUUGCAUUUAUGCAGAAGUAGGAAUUUAUAAUUAAAUAUGUGCUACUGCGAUGUGAUUUUCACGCAGAGCUUCGGACCACACUAGACAUAUUUGGAGACCUUUUAUACGAGGAAAGAAGCUUUUUUGUGUUGUAGGGGUGGAUGUCUUGGUCAUUCCAGAUUCAGCUGUAGCAUUUAUCAUGUUUCCUAAAUUAAUGGUCAUUGAUUUAUUUUUAUGGAUUA